UGCGUAGGCGGUUAGUUAAGUCUGUCGUGAAAGCCCCGGGCUCAACCUGGGAAUGGCGAUGGAUACUGGCUAGCUAGAGUGUGUCAGAGGAUGGUGGAAUUCCCGGUGUAGCGGUGAAAUGCGUAGAGAUCGGGAGGAACACCAGUGGCGAAGGCGGCCAUCUGGGACAACACUGACGCUGAGGCACGAAAGCGUGGGAGCAAACA
rnacentral:rRNA from 1 species